UUUGGUUAAGUUAGAAAGGGCGCACGGUGGAUGCCUUGACACUAGGAGUCGAUGAAGGACGGGACUAACGCCGAUAUGCUUCGGGGAGCUGUAAGUAAGCUUUGAUCCGAAGAUUUCCGAAUGGGGAAACCCACCAUACGUAAUGGUAUGGUAUCCUUAUCUGAAUACAUAGGGUAAGGAAGACAGACCCAGGGAACUGAAACAUCUAAGUACCUGGAGGAAGAGAAAGCAAAUGCGAUUUCCUGAGUAGCGGCGAGCGAAACGGAACAUAGCCCAAACCAAGAGGCUUGCCUCUUGGGGUUGUAGGACAUUCUAUACGGAGUUACAAAGGAACGAGGUAGACGAAGCGACCUGGAAAGGUCCGUCGUAGAGGGUAACAACCCCGUAGUCGAAACUUCGUUCUCUCUUGAAUGUAUCCUGAGUACGGCGGAACACGUGAAAUUCCGUCGGAAUCUGGGAGGACCAUCUCCCAAGGCUAAAUACUCCCUAGUGAUCGAUAGUGAACCAGUACCGUGAGGGAAAGGUGAAAAGCACCCCGGAAGGGGAGUGAAAGAGAUCCUGAAACCGUGUGCCUACAAAUAGUCAGAGCCCGUUAACGGGUGAUGGCGUGCCUUUUGUAGAAUGAACCGGCGAGUUACGAUCCCGUGCGAGGUUAAGCUGAAGAGGCGGAGCCGCAGCGAAAGCGAGUCUGAAUAGGGCGUUUAGUACGUGGUCGUAGACCCGAAACCAGGUGAUCUACCCAUGUCCAGGGUGAAGUUCAGGUAACACUGAAUGGAGGCCCGAACCCACGCACGUUGAAAAGUGCGGGGAUGAGGUGUGGGUAGCGGAGAAAUUCCAAUCGAACCUGGAGAUAGCUGGUUCUCCCCGAAAUAGCUUUAGGGCUAGCCUUAAGUGUAAGAGUCUUGGAGGUAGAGCACUGAUUGGACUAGGGGUCCUCAUCGGAUUACCGAAUUCAGUCAAACUCCGAAUGCCAAUGACUUAUCCUUAGGAGUCAGACUGCGAGUGAUAAGAUCCGUAGUCAAAAGGGAAACAGCCCAGACCGCCAGCUAAGGUCCCAAAGUGUGUAUUAAGUGGAAAAGGAUGUGGAGUUGCUUAGACAACUAGGAUGUUGGCUUAGAAGCAGCCACCAUUUAAAGAGUGCGUAAUAGCUCACUAGUCGAGUGACUCUGCGCCGAAAAUGUACCGGGGCUAAAUACACCACCGAAGCUGCGGAUUGAUACCAAUGGUAUCAGUGGUAGGGGAGCGUUCUAAGGACAGUGAAGUCAGACCGGAAGGACUGGUGGAGUGCUUAGAAGUGAGAAUGCCGGUAUGAGUAGCGAAAGACGGGUGAGAAUCCCGUCCACCGAAUGCCUAAGGUUUCCUGAGGAAGGCUCGUCCGCUCAGGGUUAGUCAGGACCUAAGCCGAGGCCGACAGGCGUAGGCGAUGGACAACAGGUUGAUAUUCCUGUACCACCUCUUUAUCGUUUGAGCAAUGGAGGGACGCAGAAGGAUAGAAGAAGCGUGCGAUUGGUUGUGCACGUCCAAGCAGUUAGGCUGAUAAGUAGGCAAAUCCGCUUAUCGUAAAGGCUGAGCUGUGAUGGGGAAGCUCCUUAUGGAGCGAAGUCUUUGAUUCCCCGCUGCCAAGAAAAGCUUCUAGCGAGAUAAAAGGUGCCUGUACCGCAAACCGA
rnacentral:rRNA from 1 species